GUGGGGAAUUUUGGACAAUGGGCGCAAGCCUGAUCCAGCAAUGCCGCGUGAGUGAAGAAGGCCUUCGGGUUGUAAAGCUCUUUCAGUUGAAAAGAAAAAGCCGUGACUAAUAAUCAUGGUUCAUGACGGUAUCAACAGAAGAAGCACCGGCUAACUACGUGCCAGCAGCCGCGGUAAUACGUAGGGUGCAAGCGUUAAUCGGAAUUACUGGGCGUAAAGGGUGCGCAGGCGGUUCUGUAAGUCAGAUGUGAAAUCCCCGGGCUUAACCUGGGAACUGCGUUUGAAACUGCAGAGCUAGAGUGCGGCAGAGGGAGGUGGAAUUCCAUGUGUAGCAGUGAAAUGCGUAGAGAUAUGGAAGAACAUCGAUGGCGAAGGCAACCUCCUGGGCUAGCACUGACGCUCAUGCACGAAAGCGUGGGGAGCAAACAGGAUUAGAAACCCCAGUAGUCC
rnacentral:rRNA from 1 species